rnacentral:rRNA from 1 species
CGCGUAGGCGGAUUGUCAUGUCUGGUGUGAAAGCCCGGGGCUCAACCCCGGAAGUGCAUUGGAAACUGGCGAUCUUGAGUUCGGGAGAGGAGGGCAGAAUUCCUGGUGUAGGGGUGAAAUCCGUAGAUAUCAGGAGGAAAAUCAGUGGCGAAGGCGGCCCUCUGGAACGUAACUGACGCUGAGGCGCGAAAGCGUGGGGAGCAAACAGGAUUAGAUACCCUGGUAGUCC